rnacentral:tRNA from 1 species
GCCUGGCUGGCUCAGCAGGUAGAGUAUGUGAUUCUUGAUCUUGAGGUCAUGAGUUCAAGCCCCAUGUUGAGCA